rnacentral:rRNA from 1 species
GAUGAACGCUGGCGGCGUGCCUAAUACAUGCAAGUCGAGCGAACAGACGAGGAGCUUGCUCCCCUGACGUUAGCGGCGGACGGGUGAGUAACACGUGGAUAACCUACCUAUUAGACUGGGAUAACUUCGGGAAACCGGAGCUGAUACCGGAUAAUAUAUUCAACCGCUUGGUUCAAUAGUGAAUGACGGCUUUGCUGUUACUGUUAGAUGGAUCCGCGCCGCAUUAGCUAGUUGGUAAGGUAACGGCUUACCAAGGCAACGAUGCGUAGCCGACCUGAGAGGGUGAUCGGCCACACUGGAACUGAGACACGGUCCAGACUCCUACGGGAGGCAGCAGUAGGGAAUCUUCCGCAAUGGGCGAAAGCCUGACGGAGCAACGCCGCGUGAGUGAUGAAGGUCUUCGGAUCGUAAAACUCUGUUAUUAGGGAAGAACAAAUGUGUAAGUAACUAUGCACGUCUUGACGGUACCUAAUCAGAAAGCCACGGCUAACUACGUG